UGCAUUCAGAAUUCUUACACAUGUGACCGAUGUGAAAUGAUUUCUGUUUUGUUAGGUUAUGUUAUGCAAAUUUUAUAUUUGUGUAUUAACGAUUAAAAGAAAUCUUAACAUUGAUGUCAUUAAUUAAUUAAUUUAUUUCGAUUUAAAUAUUUUUUAAAUAAAUAUUCCAAAUGAAGGAUACAGAGGUUAUUGGUUUUGGAGGAACAGAAGAACUUAAUGAAAAUGAAGAAGAUGAAGACAUUUCGGACAUCAAGAAAAAAGCUUCUAAGAAGUCAGGUGGAUUUCAAUCUAUGGCUCUUAGCUAUCCUAUUUUGAAAGGUAUAUUAAAACGUGGUUAUAAAAUUCCAACACCAAUACAGAGAAAGACAAUCCCUUUAGCUCUUGAAGGAAGAGAUAUUGUAGCAAUGGCCAGGACUGGUAGUGGAAAGACAGCUUGUUUUUUAAUCCCGUUGUUUGAAAAACUCAAGACAAGACAAGCUAAAACUGGUGCACGUGCUUUAAUUCUUUCACCUACGCGUGAACUAGCAAUGCAAACAUUGAAAUUUAUAAAAGAGUUAGGAAAAUUUAUAGGAUUAAAAGCUGCAGUGAUAUUGGGAGGAGAUAGUAUGGAUAAUCAAUUCAGUAUUAUUCAUGGAAAUCCUGAUAUUAUUGUUGCUACACCAGGCAGAUUUCUUCAUAUAUGUGUUGAAAUGGACUUACGUUUAAACAGUGUAGAGUAUGUUGUAUUUGACGAGGCUGACAGAUUAUUUGAAAUGGGUUUUGGUGAACAAAUUCAUGAGAUAGUUAAUAGAUUACCAGAGACAAGACAAACUCUACUGUUCUCUGCCACAUUACCCAAGAUUUUAGUAGAGUUUACUAAAGCAGGUUUAAGCGAUCCUAUUUUAAUACGAUUAGAUGUUGAAAGCAAAUUGCCAGAAGAAUUAAGUUUAUCAUUUAUUAUUUGUCGUCCUGAAGAGAAAUUGGCUGUGCUUCUAGCUCUAUUAAAGAAUGUCAUUGCAAAUGAUUCACAAACUGUAAUAUUUGCUGCAACUAUGCAUCAUGUAGAAUACCUCCAUCAGAUACUAGACAAAGCAGGAAUUUCAAAUACAUUUAUUUAUUCAAAUUUGGAUCCAUCUGCACGUAAAAUAAAUGCUGCUAAAUUUCAAAUGGGCAAAGUAAAGACUUUGAUUGUUACUGAUGUUGCUGCUCGUGGUAUAGAUAUACCUCAUUUAGAUAAUGUUAUUAAUUUUAAUUUCCCAGCUAAAUGUAAAUUGUUCGUGCACAGAGUAGGUCGUUGUGCACGUGCUGGUCGAACUGGAACUGCUUAUAAUAUUGUAACUCCUGAUGAGUAUCCAUAUCUCCUAGAUUUACAUCUAUUUCUUGGUCGUUCAUUAAAUAUAGUUCCUCUGUCUAGUACAAGCAAUGAUAUGGAGUAUAUAAUAGGAAAAAUGCCUCAAGCUAUGAUAGAAGAAGAACUUGCAGAAUUAAUAAAUUGGCAUGAUUCAUCUACUGAUCUGAAAAACAUGGAAAAAGUUUGUGACAAUGCUUAUGAACGUUAUAUCAAAUCUCGGCCAGCAGCAUCAUCGGAAAGCGUUAAACGAAUGAAAGAAUUGAAUAUUAAUUCAGCUGGUAUAAUACCUGAAUAUUCUAAUAUUAAUCCUGCCACAAUGGAUAUAUUAACUAAAAUGAAACAGUACAGACCUCAAGGAACAAUAUUCGAAAUCGGCAAAAAAACAUGUUCAUUGGAUUAUAAAGUGAUGAAAGAAAAACGAGCAUUUCAUAAAGAUAAUAUUUUCAACUUUCAUAAAAAAAUGGAGACAUUAGAAGCAAAGAAGGAGGAAGCUGCAAAAAAUAUGUUUCAAAAAACUACAUUACCAAAAAGUAGUGAGAAUGAAAUUAGUGAAGCAUUUAAUAAAGUGAUAAUGCCAAAGAAACGAAAUAUAGAAGAUUUGUAUAAAAAUACUAAGAAAAAGAAACGUUUGGCUACUAAGGAUGAAGAAUUUUAUAUUCCGUAUUCUGCACCAGAUAAACAUACAGAAGAUGGAUUGGCGGUAAACAAUUUCAUGACAGAGGCAGAAAAAGCACAAUUGGAUUUAACAGCAGAUAAUGAAGAAUCUUUACGGCUACAAACACAACUUAAGAAAUGGGAUCGUAAAAAGAAAAAAAUGAUUACUAUUAAUAACGAUCCAAAAGCUGGUAAAAUACGUACCGAAUCUGGAGCAUGGAUUCCUGCUACAUACAAAACAAAUCGUUACACGCAAUGGAAGGAGAAGAGUAAAGUCGAUGCUAUGGCCGACGAAGAUAGCGAAGAAGAAUCACCACAAUUGCAAAAAUUGCAAACAAACGUCAAUACACAUUGGGCGCGUCAUAAUCAAAAGAUCAAGGAGAAGGUGAAGGCCAAGUCAGAGUUGAAGAGACCGGAACAAAUUUUGAAAGCUCGUAAAUUGUUGGAAAGGAAGAAACGACGAAAUGGUAGAAAGGGCCGGAAAGGUCAGAAAAAAGGGGGAAAGUCUCGUUAAAAGGUAUCCAAUUGUAUAUAUAUACUCUGUACAUAUAUACACGUUUUAAAAUAUUUCGUGAGAUUCUAAGAUCGUAGGAUAAAAUAACUUUUUCUUAUGGUGAUAAAAUAAAUAAAUUACAAAAAAAAUUGUUUAUAAUAUAGAUAACAUUUUAAAUUACUUUAAACCGGUCGUAUAAAUUUCUCAAAAUCAUUGGAUAAUUUCGUUAACAAGCGAUAAGAUUAAGCGUUUUAAUCUAUUUUUCCUCCCUUCUUUGAUAAAACAAUAAUACAAGAUACGAGCGAAUUAAACGAUGGAAAAAUUGGAGCUGAUUUAAAAACGUUUAUAAAAAUAUAAAACCUAGCUAUUUCUUUGCCGGAGUCGCGCGUGCCACGUCGCUAGCAUGCAAUAAUGCCGAUAGCUCGAGAAUUUAAUUCACGGCACUUUAUUACGUAAGUACCUUGAGAUGGUAAUUCCUAGAUAGUGGUCGUACGCGCGGAACGACAUAAGACGUAUCGAGAAGAAUAUUCGCGCGUGAAAUUUCUUCGUCGUUCGAAUUUCGCGCCGCGAGGAAAGACGCGACAUUGAAGAAAUGUGAACGAAAUAUAUCAUUAUAUUUCGACAUAUUUCUUAAGAAAAUAUACUUUUGUUCUUUCUCUCAAGUUAUUCUAGUCUCCAAAAAAGAAAAACAAUUUUUAAUUCAUCCUUACAAAGAUAACACCGUUAUACAAUUUGUGAUGUCAGAGACUGCCAACGAACGUUCACACGUCGCUAAAGUCAGAACACAAACCUUGAGGAAGCCUUAAAAACUUUUCAAACACAUCGAAGCUUUAAAGUAUCGUCGAAUCUUUUGAUCUUGUUCCACUAAUUAGUUCGAUAGGUCGUUAAUUAAUUUACUGUCUUAUUUCUCAUUAAUUAAAAUCUUUACGGAACAAUCUUAACGAAAACGAUAAACUUGAGUCGCGUGUUAGUAUUUCAAAGGAUUUUAUAAUUAGUCGAAAAAUGAGAAAUUAUGAAAAUUUACAAAAGUAACAUUGUAAGUCGAUAUACGAAGAAGAAAUUACUUAUGCUUUUAACUUUGUUCAAAGUUUAGGUAAAAUACAAAUAGAUUUAUACAUAUCGUUAAACAUUGUGUAAUUUCAUCGUUUGUCGCGCACACUAUCAUAUACGUCGUGUCAUCUCGUGAGAAUGUGCAAGGGAUCAACGUACGGUGUGGCGGUAAAUAUCAUACCGAAUUGACAGUUUUCCAAUAUCGUUACACUGUCGUAUGCCUGUCGAUUACGUUUUACGAUGGGGGAUUUGUAUAGGAAUAUUGAGAAAAAAGAAAAAAAAAAAAAUGCCGGAUAAGUAGAUCGUAAAAAACGCUAGGAUAUUAAAAAUUCAACAUAGAUGGUAUCGUAUUUCUUUGUUUUGUUUUUAUUUAUACUAUCUUAAACUCAUAAUUGAUUUUUUUUUUCUUCUUUUAUAUAGAAAAAUCAAGGAGAUUCGUAAAAAACCUUUCAAUCGAGAAAAUACCUUGUGUCAGUUAAUUUUUCAUUAAGCAAAACUCGCAUUGAUCGAAUCAAAGUAAUUGGCCAAUUCUAUCUAUCUCUUCCGAUACAUUUCUAUAACUCGACAUCCUCGUAAAAGUUUCGUAAUGAAUCAUAAUAAUCGAUAACUCGUGCCACAACGAGAGUAUUCACCGUUGUAGAAAUCGUUAUCGCUUCGUUUCGCUAAUAUUUCUUAGGAUAUCGUGCGUGUUUUAUUCGUUUCUUUCCUUUUUUCUUUUUCUUUUUUGUUUUUUUGUUCUCUUUUUAGCAAUGAAUACAGCACGGUAUCGUAUAACUCUCCAUAUAAAAUUUAUUCGAUGUAAAAAUUAUUUUGAUGGAGAGGUAAAGUUGAGUUGAAUGAACUCACUAUUGGGAAAAUACGUUUUUACGCUUUGUUAACGAUUUAAAUUCGGGAUUAACCGAAUGCGCUUUAUGCAAGCGUUCGCGUUUAACGCAAUAUUUGUUUCGUUUUUUAUUUAUAUAAUAUUUAUGGUCUGAACGCGUAAACAGUAUAGGUACGUUUGAUUUUAGACGAAACUUUUUGAUAUAGAGCAUCGAACGAUAUUUUUGUUUGUAGACCCUUCAUUUGUUCGUUUAUUUUUAUAUUUUCUUUUCUUUUUUUUUCCAUUUCUUUUCUCUUGUUUUUUUUUUCGUAUGUAUUUUACACGCAUAUACACUGUAAUUUCAUCCGCGUUUCAUCAUCGAUCUUACUUCACUAAGUUCAAUCUUCCCUUACCACGGCAUCUUACCAUAGCUAAAUGUCAUUUAUUUCCAUCAAAGGAUGCUUCAUUGCGUACGUUUGACCCUUCAGUUAUUCGAUAUACCAGAAUGAUAUGAAUUGUUAGCGAAAUUUCUAUAAAUUCUUUGAUAUAGAUGUUACGACAAGAUAUAAAGCAUUCUCGAAUAGGCAAUGCAUUCUCUAAUUGCAUUCUUAAUUGGCAAACUAUUGGAAAUUAUUAACGGACAUAACGAGUUAUAUAAAAGAAAAAAGAAUAAUAAUAAUGAAAAGAUGAAUGUUGUAGGAUAUAAAAACGAUAAGAUAUAAAAUAUAAAAUUAUUUGAAAAGUAAUAAAAAUCUUUUGUGAUGAAUCUAAAAAUCAUAAUGUUUACGAGAAGUCGUACGAGUUGAAAAGACUUCAUUUGAAUUUUUAUUACGAUUCCAAUUUAUUAUUAUACAUCGUAUUGUAUUGUUUAUGUUGUAAACAGUUCAACCAGACGAAAUUGGUGUUUUAUUUAAAUGACGCAGACGACACUUCUCUGAAAUAUUCGUUUUUAUCAGUCCAACAAGAGCUUUGACCUCGAUCAUUUGUGGAAGUUCAGUUUGCAUUUACGAUUAGGUUCAAGGACAAAUAGCCUGGUGAAAAAGAAAUGUAUUAUACUCGCGAUGACUUGCUUCCAGGGACGUAUCGAUCCGUAGUACGCAGUAAUUAACCGGCCACGUUGCGGUACGAAGGAUUUAGACGACCCUUCCGACUUUCGUAGAAAGUUUCUCGGUUUAAAAACGGAAAGCUUCCUCACCGUUCCCUUUUCUUUCUUUUUUUUUGUUUUUUUUUUGUUUUUUAUUACAACUUGCUAGCGUGUUUAAUGAUAUCAAAUUGUUCGACCGAACGUCUGGGAUUUUUAAUAAAUUUCCAAGAGGUAUGAACCGAAGGAAAAUGCAUCUUUUAGUUGAUGUUAUUAUGAGAAUAAACGAGCAUUGAAAAGGAACAAUUUUUUCUAUAUAAAUGCCAUCGCGAAUUUCAUGAAACGAAAUAGUUUUUUAUUAGAAAUAUUUAAAGAUUUUUAUUACUCGAAAUCGAAGAAAUUAGUUUGUUAGUUAUAUCGAUUUAUAAUAUAGGAAAAAGAAAAGAAGUCUUGAAACUUUCAAUCGAGUUUCGUUUUAUUCAAUUCUACGGAUUAAUACAACUUUCUAAAUAAUACGUUCUCGUAAAAAUUGAUUAAAUGAAAUUCUAAAAGUGCGAUCAAAAAUGAUAACCCGAUUAUUUUCAUUAUGCGAAUAUACGAAUCUUUCGGUAAAGGAUACCCAUUCAUUCGUGUUUAGGUAGGUGUUGUAGCACUUUUAGAAGGUAUCUUCUUAGUGUUAUCAAUUUAAGUAGAUAUAUGUAAUACGAUAGAUCGACAGGUUCGAAUUGCUGUUUCGCUUCGUGUCCAAUAUAAAAGGAGUGAAAGGAAUCAGCGUGUGACGUAAUUCCUCUUACGUUAUUGCGAGUACAACGAAUACCGUCGGUCAGUUUCGGUAGCUGGGAUAUUGCAGGCAAUUCGAACGUAUCGAGUGCUCAGAAUAGAAAAAGACUUUCACACGACCUGUAUCUUUCGACUUACAUACGAUCCUUUUUUUUAUUUAUGAGCACGUAAUAUAACUCGUAGGUAUAUUCGUUAAUUUGUUCUCUUAAAAAUACUUUCACGUAGAAACAAAAUGAAAAAAAAGAAACGAGAAGCAAAUCAAAUUCAAUUUCAUUCUUUUUGAGUAUCAUUACUCACUAAUACUCUUUGAUUAAAAAUUCGGAACAUUUAUUCAUCCGUACAUUUUGUUUUGUUUUUAGAGAAAGUUGAUCCAUUUUUUUAAUUUUUAUUUUUGAUUGUGCAAAAAAAAGUUUUGCGAGUGUUCGAUAUGUGACGAAUUUUCGAUUUAUCGAAGAAAGUAAAAAUGAUCGAGAUAUCUAUGUAUCUGUAUACCUCGAAUGAUCUUUCGACCACAACGUCGACUACAAGUUUGCGGUUUUAAAAUCAUUCAAGCAGUCAUCUCACCACGACCUCCUACUUUUAUAUCUCCCAUUUGCGUCAGUGCCUGUUAAGCAUCACGGGAUUGUCCAGUGAGACAAGUUCUAACUCGAUAUGGUUAUUGUUGCUAUCAUUAUUUUAUUUACUUCCUUGGACUGAUUUAGCUAAUGAAAAAAAUCGAGAUAUGAUUCAUAGCUGGAAGUCGUAAGAAAUUUUCUAUAAAAUCACGUUGACGAAUUAUUAUUACAAUCAACGUAGGCUUGACAAAUCGUUAUAAUAUUUCAAAAUAAUUAGAAGAAUUUCACGUUUACAUCUGAAACAAUUAAAACUUUGAAUCGAUUAUAUUUUAUCGGCCACUAUAAACUUGAUGGUUUGAUAUUUCUUCAUGGAACAAACUACAAUGUCUUAUUGUUGGAUUCGAUAAUAAAUUAUUGGAUGUCUACGAGAUAAGAAAAAAAAAGAAGAAA